GGAGUUGGAUUGGGUGGAGGAAGGCGGCCGUCUGCAGCACCCGCUCGCUCGCUACCGCAGUCGGCCUCGCUCCCUCGGGCGCCGCGGCACUGACCGGCGGCUGCCUCGGGUAGCUUGACUUGGAGGGGCGCCGGGUGGUGAAGAAGGUGGAAGGAAGAAGGCGUCGCUCACCUAGCCGGCGUGGCUGGUGGCCGGAGUGGUGGCGCGGCGGCGGGGUCGGUGGCCGGGGGGUGGCGCGGCGGCGGAGGGAGGGGCGCGCGUCGCGGCGGGCCGGAGUAGGAGGGACGGGGGCGGAGGAGGGGAAGCGGUCGCGCGGAGGUGGAGGGCCGGCGGCCGCGCCGAGGUGGAGGAGCAGGGCCGGCCGGUCCACUACGCGCGCGUAGUCAAGCGCGCUCCGGGCCGGCGGUCCGUGGGAAAGCGGUAGACCGCGCUGCGGUACCCAUUUCGGUCUCUACCUCGAUAAGGUCGUGGCCGUGGACGCUGCAGUCAGGUGGCUGCACGAACCGCGGCAGGUGUUGAGCUAGCGCGAGCUCGAAUACGAGGUCUAGUGGAAGAAGUUACAAGGCCGGUGCCAAGGGGUGACGGUUGUGCUCUAGGGUUGGUGAAGAAGACAUUUUUGACUUCAAUAGAUAGCCUAAUCGAGGAAGUGGCCAAAGACUUCUACCCUUCAAGUCUCAAACUCGUUCGCUUCCGUGUGAACGUGCAGCUGACACGAGUCGGUGGUCGUUAUUGAACCGUCUCCUUUAAGCUACUACUUCCGUUCUUCCAACGAUACGAAUCGUACUGGUGACUAUAGAAGUGUCAAUAUGGUAACUAAAAAUUUUACGAAGCUAAUGUGCAGCUUCCUUAGCGCUUUUUGGUUCAACGGCAGAUACUAGGCGAGUCCUUUACCUACCUGUUGACGAUGGCGCCCCAUGGGGAACCGCCUGAUCCAAGUCCUUCGUAUCCCUCUUCGAUGGCUCCCAUGAAAGUCGUCAAAGUUUAUAAGGGGUCCUAGAUACUUCUCUUCGGACAGGAACGGUUGGUCAAGAGUCGUAAGCAAAGCGUAGGACCCCCCUUCUCGAUGAGCUGCCACAACUUUGACCAUACGACGAUAAAAACAGUCCGAGCGGAAAAGCUACGCGUUUUACUACUCCCUAUUUCGAGACCAGUCCUCUGAAAGACGUACGCUCUGUUACCCGUUGUUCAAAACUAAUAUAACUAUGGAUUAUUAUCGUACACGAGUAAAAACUUGACUUUGUUUUUCUCAGAGAGAUUAUUAUUUACCCGAGAGAUUAUUAUUCAAGAUUCCUUUAUUUAUAUCUUCAAGUAUAAAGUUUUGUUUACUUCAUAAAACCUUCAUUUUAUUUGAUAAAGUUUCAUGUGUUUAAUAUAAAUCCAUAGAAACACAUGAAGUUGCAAUGACAUGUACUUGAACAUGUAAACGGAUAGGCAGUUUGUCAAACUCAACGUGAAAAAAAAACGGUAUAAACUAGAUAGUAUAAAGAGAUCAAGGUAGAGCAAGCACUCAAGAAAACUGGCUCUCGAUCAUUCUAGUUUGUACUUAAAUGUAGUCAAGUUUUUUGUCUAACAACCCUUUAUUCUAAUUCUGGUCUUUGUUCUUUCUACAUGUUUUUCUUUUAAUUUUUGGCAAAGUAAACCUGGAUAUAUUCUUUUGUUAAACGACUAGUGAUGCUUUAAAUUUAUUUUUGAACCUUUUCAAACUUUUUUUAGUGUAUUUUUCAAGCUUGAGGUUUUGGACCGUUCAAGUACCAUUUUUGUUUUUUUUCCGUCUUUUCCAUGUUAAAUAAAAAGUCACAUGGAUAUUACAGGUCAAAAAGAAAGUCAAGUUAAGGAUCUAAAGUAAGUCAAGUUAAGAAUACAUCCAUGAACCGCCACCGUAACGAAGUGAAGGGAACAAUACGAGAGAAGCGGGUUCAAGGCUCUUAGUUCUUUUGUUUAUGAUCACGAACGUACUUUUACAUGCUCGUUUUUUUUGGGUGUUUCCGGAAACGCAUCUUUGUAGUGGAGGUGUGGGGGAGGUAAGUACGCGUCAUGUACGAAGAGGACGGCGGCGCGGCGGACCUAGGUUGCUCCGACGCAGUGUGACCGGGGCCUAGGCGGGCGAAGGUUACUCCGACGCAGUGGGCGGCCGCGUGGAGACGGAGCGGCACCCGUCACCUACGAAGAGGCGUCGAGUUGGAGGACCAUCGCCCAUCAAGCUACGAGGGACAGCGCGAUGCUAGUCGCGAGGGAGCUCGAGUUGUUCUUUAAGAAAGGCCGACGCAGACGUGGAGAAUUUUCCAUGAUUAAGUUUGUGACCUCGACCAAGAAGUUUGCUAAUUUGACUUUAAUAAUGAAGUUGAUGACAAUAAUUCAAGUGUGUGAGCUUCCUCCCUAGUAACAAAGAAUAACCUCUUCCGGACUACAAAUCAACCACAGACACACCAUGGAUGUGGUCGUAAAAGGUAGUUCUGGAGGUCUUUCUCUCUAGUAGAGUUCCACCAAGUUUACACAGCUCGCCGUCGUAGCGAACUAGGGAUCACCAACGGGCGCGUUCCUCCUAUGUCCCUACGAUGUCACCACCUCCUCAGUCAUGUACAUCAUCGAUCGAGUUCUUUUCGGUCGCCGGACGAGACCGGUACGGCGUGGUGGUGACCGUGCAGGUGGUACCAACGACCGUCGGCAGGUUCAACUCGCGACUACCCUCAGGAAUCGCACGAAGUUGCUGUGAGAGAGUAUAGUUAGAGAGAAAGAAACGAGGACGAUAAUUUUACACAUCUACACGACGAAACGAUUAACUCAUCAACCCUUCUACACUUUUCUUGUACGAGAGAUCCACACACUAAUAAGGACACUCGUGUUUACAUAAAUUUACAAAUAAAACACGAAGUCGAAUACGAAAACCCGUCAUGUUUAUGUAGAAGUUUUUAUUCAUGUCUACGCCAGAAUAUCUUGAGAUUAACAACAACCUACGAUAAGGUUUACGGUUACUAGUACGUUUUGCCAAUAACGAUCUUAGAUCUACUAUACAUUAUAUCAAUGGUAUCAAAGUGGGAUAAAAAUACCAAGAUUAAUAACAACGUAUUCAGAAAUUUUCUUUACAAGCGAUUUACAAACACUAGUAACGAACAUCCAUAAGCAUACUUGUAAUUUUAUUACCGAAAAGAACAUCCUCCAAGUUUCUAACAGCACCUCGUUCAAGUUCUCUAAUCAAACCACUUUUAUUACACUAGAAAACCAGUCCUAAAACGUACUAGGUAUCGGUAGUCCGCUCGUCAAGUUCCGGAUGAUGCGCUCAGCAGAUAGCAGAAGAUGCGUACUACUCGAACAACAGAGAUGUGUAGAUCGUAGUCUCAUAGAGGAGGGGAACGGCGUGUGUGUACGGACGCCAGCUCGAUCACAACAAACACUAACGACCAGCACUGAGAAUGCAACAG
rnacentral:rRNA from 1 species